ensembl:snoRNA
UGGGCAUAUCACAGUGCCCCAUAUCAGAACUAAAUAUGUUACCAUACCACAGCCUCGCCUCUGCGCCUACAGGCUGCCUGCACUGAAGUUGGGGGAGGGGAG